rnacentral:rRNA from 1 species
AGUGAACGCUGGCGGUAGGCCUAACACAUGCAAGUCGAACGGCAGCACAGUAAGAGCUUGCUCUUACGGGUGGCGAGUGGCGGACGGGUGAGGAAUACAUCGGAAUCUACUUUUUCGUGGGGGAUAACGUAGGGAAACUUACGCUAAUACCGCACACGACCUACGGGUGAAAGCAGGGGACCUUCGGACCUUGCGCGAUUGAAUGAGCCGAUGUCGGAUUAGCUAGUUGGCGGGGUAAAGGCCCACCAAGGCGACGAUCCGUAGCUGGUCUGAGAGGAUGAUCAGCCACACUGGAACUGAGACACGGUCCAGACUCCUACGGGAGGCAGCAGUGGGGAAUAUUGGACAAUGGGCGCAAGCCUGAUCCAGCCAUACCGCGUGGGUGAAGAAGGCCUUCGGGUUGUAAAGCCCUUUUGUUGGGAAAGAAAAGCAGCAGGUUAAUACCCCGCUGUUCUGACGGUACCCAAAGAAUAAGCACCGGCUAACUUCGUG